GUAGUCAUAUGCUUGUCUCAAAGAUUAAGCCAUGCAUGUCUAAGUAUAAGCAAUUAUACAGCGAAACUGCGAAUGGCUCAUUAAAUCAGUUAUCGUUUAUUUGAUAGUACCUUACUACUUGGAUAACCGUGGUAAUUCUAGAGCUAAUACAUGCUAAAAACCCCGACCCACGAAGGGGUGUAUUUAUUAGAUUAAAAGCCAAUGCCCUUCGGGGCUCACUGGUGAUUCAUAAUAACUUGUCGAGUCGCAUGGCCUUGCGCCGGCGAUGGUUCAUUCAAAUUUCUGCCCUAUCAACUUUCGACGGCUGGGUCUUGGCCAGCCAUGGUGACAACGGGUAACGGAGGGUUAGGGCUCGACCCCGGAGAACGAGCCUGAGAAACGGCUAUUACAUCCAAGGAAGGCAGCAGGCGCGCAAAUUACCCAAUACCGACUCGGUGAGGUAGUGACGAUAAAUACUGAUACAGGGCUCUUUUGGGUCUUGUAAUUGGAAUGAGUACAAUUUAAAUCCCUUAACGAGGAACAAUUGGGGGGCAAGUCUGGUGCAGCAGCC
rnacentral:rRNA from 1 species